AACGCGAAGAACCUUACCUGGCCUUGACAUGCAAGUAGUAGAAGCCUGAAAGGGUGACGAUGCCGCAAGGCAAGCUUGCACAGGUGCUGCAUGGCUGUCGUCAGCUCGUGUCGUGAGAUGUUGGGUUAAGUCCCGCAACGAGCGCAACCCUUAUCCCUAGUUGCCAUCGGGUCAAGCCGGGCACUCUAGUGAAACUGCCUGGGAUAACCAGGAGGAAGGUGGGGAUGACGUCAAGUCCUCAUGGCCUUUAUGUCCAGGGCUACACACGUGCUACAAUGGUCGGUACAAACCGUCGCAAACCCGUGAGGGGGAGCUAAUCGGAAAAAGCCGACCUCAGUUCGGAUUGGAGUCUGCAACUCGACUCCAUGAAGCUGGAAUCGCUAGUAAUCGCGGAUCAGAACGCCGCGGUGAAUACGUUCCCGGGCCUUGUACACACCGCUAGUC
rnacentral:rRNA from 1 species